UUACGACCAUAUAGAGUUGAAACACCAGUUCCUGUACGGUCAUCGAAGUUAAGCAAUGUCGAGCCUGGUCAGUAUAUAGAUGAGUGAUUGCCUGGGAAUACCAGGUGUUGUAUG